UAGCUCUGGUUUCUCUUAAGUCACGCGUAAAUCUUUUGCCUUUUGUUAAAGAUUUCCGUGCAGAGAAAUAUCAAUGAGUUUGAUGUAGUUUUCUGUGCUUCGCUCUGUUAAAGCU